GCUCACUUCGGCAGAACAUAUACUAAAAUUGAAAUGAUACAGAGAUUAGCAUGCCCUUUGCGCAAGGAUGCCACACAAAUUCGUGAAGCGUUCCAUAUUUAA